UACGUAGGUGGCAAGCGUUGUCCGGAAUUACUGGGUAUAAAGGGAGCGCAGGCGGGAAGGCAAGUCAGCGGUGAAAUGUAUGGGCUUAACCCAUGAACUGCCGUUGAAACUGUUUUUCUUGAGUGAAGUAGAGGCAAGCGGAAUUCCUAGUGUAGCGGUGAAAUGCGUAGAGAUUAGGAGGAACACCAGUGGCGAAGGUGGCUUGCUGGGCUUUAACUGACGCUGAGGCUCGAAAGUGUGGGGAGCAAAC
rnacentral:rRNA from 1 species